rnacentral:rRNA from 1 species
UACAGAGGGGGCAAGCGUUAUUCGGAAUUAUUGGGCGUAAAGGGCAGGUAGGUGGUCUUGAAAGUUUGGUGUGAAAUCUCCCGGCUCAACCGGGAGGGUGCGCCGAAAACUGGAGGGCUCGAGUGUGGGAGAGGUAAGCGGAAUUCCUGGUGUAGCGGUGAAAUGCGUAGAUAUCAGGAGGAACACCUGUGGUGUAGACGGCUUACUGGACCAUUACUGACGCUGAGGCACGAAAGCGUGGGUAGCAAACAGG